ensembl:lncRNA
CAUUUCCUGGGUAUUAAGAAUAAUAGAGAAAAAAAUGAGAAAGUGGAGGCAGAAGGUGAAGAGGCUGACAUGGUGUGAAGUCAAAGAAGCUGUCCUGGAGCCAGAGGUGAACAACAAAAGCCAGAAUGAAGGCCAAACAGAGCAACCCAUGUCCAAGUAGGUCUGCUGUGUCCAGGCUGCAGCUGGAGGUCAGGCCUAAUUAGGACUUGAACAACUGACCAGAAGGACCUGUGUUGCUCCCUGGGAAGACUUACUCCACAGUCCUGAGCAGCAGGAUUUAGGCUGAGAAGAUUUUGGGAAGAGGUCUCUGGUGGGCUGGAGGGAAUGGGGCCACUGGUUCUUAUUUGGUGAAGGAGCCACAUACAGGAGAGGGGAACUCGAGACCACCAUCUCUCCUGGUUUCACCUCCAACUCUCCUGGUUUGGGAACCAGAUGUUGAGAAAAUAUAGAUGUGAUGACCC